AAAAUGAAAAGAAGACUUCUAAUCUUCAAAUAGCGUCUUACGCUUCAUUUUU
rnacentral:tRNA from 1 species